rnacentral:lncRNA from 1 species
CCUUCUGCCACACGCACACAAGGAACGGAAGUAGUAUUUUCAAAGACCAUUAACAAUUUCAUCUUCACCUUGGUUGUGAGGUGGUUACAGCAUCUGGGAAACAUGAUGGAUCCCACAAAAAACACUUAAAAUAAUAAAAAUCAUUACUGUAUUUAUUCUCUAUAAUCCCUGUCUCAUAUGUCUCUUCUCUUAAUUUUGAAAAGAGAAACAGGACUGUUGAUUCUCUUCCUCCUAUCUGCUUUAAAUGGUGGUCAACUUCUUUGAGUCUUUGUAAUACAGGACUGAUUCAAAGAGAGGAAGAAUGAUCUAGAAGGCUUCCUAAUUGAUACAAUCACAAGAAGAAGAAAAUGCAUGUAAUAAAAGAUUCCACAUGAAAUGGUUUCAGUGAUUUAUCAUGGUAACCCAUCACCUAGAGACACUGGAUAUUACAAUGAGAAUUCCAGGUAAUCUCCAAUCCACUGCCUUUUCCUCCACCAGUGAACCUUACAAGCAAGUCGCAGACAUGAUUUACAAACAUCUUGGACACCAGUGUAUCUGCUUCAUCUCCAAGUUCUAGAGCACUGCUUGCUUUAUGUGCUUCUUCCCAUUCUAGCUAUUCUAAAGACUUUCUUUUGAAGUCAGGUCUGGUCCUUCUGCCAGCUUAACUGAUCAGUGGUGACUGAGGGUUGUUUUUGUUUUGUUUUGAGUGGUGGUUGGUUAGAAGUUCUUGUCCUCUUGGAAUUUCCAUUAGUCUACUUAAGCACCCCAAAUAAACAUGAUCUUGCUAAAAACA